rnacentral:rRNA from 1 species
AACGAACGCUGGCGGCAGGCUUAACACAUGCAAGUCGAACGGUGAACGAGGGAGCUUGCUCCCUCCGGAUCAGUGGCGAACGGGUGAGUAACACGUGAGCAAUCUGCCCUGGACUCUGGGAUAAGCGUUGGAAACGACGUCUAAUACCGGAUACGAGACGCGAAGGCAUCUUCAGCGUCUGGAAAGAACUUCGGUCCGGGAUGAGCUCGCGGCCUAUCAGGUAGUUGGUGAGGUAACGGCUCACCAAGCCUACGACGGGUAGCCGGCCUGAGAGGGUGACCGGCCACACUGGGACUGAGACACGGCCCAGACUCCUACGGGAGGCAGCAGUGGGGAAUAUUGCACAAUGGGCGCAAGCCUGAUGCAGCAACGCCGCGUGAGGGACGACGGCCUUCGGGUUGUAAACCUCUUUUAGCAGGGAAGAAGCGAAAGUGACGGUACCUGCAGAAAAAGCACCGGCUAACUACGUGCCAGCCGCCGCAGUAACAC